AUAAAGGAUAAUUUGUAUAUCUGGAUGGUUUAAAAAUAAUUAAAUUUAUUUUUUAAAAUAUUAAUAGUAAUUAAUAAUAAUAUAAAAAUAUAAAAAGUAAAUAAUAAUUAUCUGUAAAUAAAAUUUACUAGAUUGAAGAAAAAACUAAAUCUGUAAUUUUAAUUUGAUAAACUUUAUAUUCCAGGCUAUAUUUGAUAAAAAGCAAGAAAAAAAAAAAAGUGAAAAACAAAGUUUGUUAGGCGAUUAAGCCUCGAAAAUAUGCAUGUAGGAAGAACACGUGGCAAUCAGUGUACAACUAAAGAUGCUGCCUAGGCAGCUUGACACUUGCAUGCCCUAUCCAUAUAUACCCACCGAGAAAUGCUAGAAAGUAAGGGGUCACUUAUUGCUUGUAAUAGCUCCCAUGGAGGAGAAGCUGUUUUAAAACAUACAAGUAUAUAUAUAUAUAAGCUAAGCCAUGGAUAAAAAGGAGAAUAGCGAAGACCCAAAUAUCGCUAAGCUAGCAGCAAAAGAAAUCAAAGGUGUAGUAGAUGAGCCACCACCAUCAGCUACUAAUAAUACAGUGGAGACACACAAGAAGGCAGCUGAGGAAAGAGACGAGGAAGUAAAACGCCUUCCUCACCAGCAAGUUCCUCAGCCUGGAGACUUCUCAACUGAAGCCCUUGAGCAACUUUGACACCAGCUUUACUAAGCACUAGUAGCUUCAUCAAGAAUCAGAAUAGCAGGAUUUCUAAGAAUGGCUCUAGCAAAAGCAAUUCGCUGCUUCUGUCCACCACUCAGCAACUCAUUAUCCACAAGAGUUUCAUAACCAAAGGGUAGAGAAGAAAUGAAUUCAUGGGCAUCGGCCAGCUUUGCAGCAUAUUCUAUGUCUUCCAUUUUAACAUCUCGAUAGCAUCCAUAUGUUAUGUUUGACUUGAUAUCAGUACGGAAGAGCUGUGGCUCCUGCCUAAAAUGAAUAUUUUAGUCUACAUAAUUACAUAGCUAUGAUAUAUCACCAAGUAGUCUAA